GCGUUUGUAGCUCGGUGGCAGAGCAUGUGCUUGGCAUGCACAGGGCCCUGGGUUCAAUCCCUAGCACCCUCC
rnacentral:tRNA from 1 species